GACGAACGCUGGCGGCGUGCUUAACACAUGCAAGUCGAACGAUGAAGAAGAGAAACGCGAACUUCGGUUCAAAUUUCACUUCGGAUUAGUGGCAGACGGGUGAGUAACGCGUGAGCAACCUACCUCUUACAAAGGGAUAGCCUCGGGAAACCGUGAUUAAUACCAUAUGACACAUUCAUAAGGCAUCUUAAGAAUGUUAAAGCUACGGCGGUAAGAGAUGGGCUCGCGUCCCAUUAGCUAGUUGGUGAGGUAACGGCCCACCAAGGCGACGAUGGGUAACCGGCCUGAGAGGGUGAACGGUCACAUUGGAACUGAGACACGGUCCAAACUCCUACGGGAGGCAGCAGUGGGGAAUACUGCACAAUGGAGGGAACUCUGAUGCAGCGACGCCGCGUGAGCGAUGAAGGAAUUCGUUUCGUAAAGCUCUGUUCUAUGGGAAGAAAAGGACUGUACCAUAGGAGAAAGCCCCGGCUAAAUACGUG
rnacentral:rRNA from 1 species